GGCUAGAGUUUGAUCAUGGCUCAGGAUGAACGCUGGCGGCGUGCCUAACACAUGCAAGUCGAGCGAAGCACUUUGCUUUGAAUCUUUCGGGAGGACGAGUGAUUUGACUGAGCGGCGGACGGGUGAGUAACGCGUGGGCAACCUGCCUCACACAGGGGGAUAACAGUUAGAAAUGACUGCUAAUACCGCAUAAGGCCACAGCACCGCAUGGUGCAGGGGUAAAAACUCCGGUGGUGUGAGAUGGGCCCGCGUCUGAUUAGGUAGUUGGUGAGGUAACGGCUCACCAAGCCGACGAUCAGUAGCCGACCUGAGAGGGUGACCGGCCACAUUGGGACUGAGACACGGCCCAAACUCCUACGGGAGGCAGCAGUGGGGAAUAUUGCACAAUGGGGGAAACCCUGAUGCAGCGACGCCGCGUGAGCGAUGAAGUAUUUCGGUAUGUAAAGCUCUAUCAGCAGGGAAGAAACUGACGGUACCUGACUAAGAAGCACCGGCUAAAUACGUGCCAGCAGCCGCGGUAAUACGUAUGGUGCAAGCGUUAUCCGGAUUUACUGGGUGUAAAGGGAGCGUAGACGGACUUGCAAGUCUGAAGUGAAAGCCCGGGGCUCAACCCCGGGACUGCUUUGGAAACUGUAGGUCUAGAGUGCUGGAGAGGUAAGUG
rnacentral:rRNA from 1 species